rnacentral:rRNA from 1 species
GACGAACCGUGCGAACGUUGUUCGGAAUCACUGGGCUUAAAGGGCGCGUAGGCGGACUGCCAAGUCCGGGGUGAAAUCCUCCGGCUUAACCGGAGAAUUGCCUGGGAUACUGGCGGUCUUGAGGGAGGUAGGGGCACGCGGAACUUCCGGUGGAGCGGUGAAAUGCGUUGAUAUCGGAAGGAACGCCGGUGGCGAAAGCGGCGUGCUGGCCCUCUUCUGACGCUGAGGCGCGAAAGCCAGGGGAGGCGAACGGG